rnacentral:rRNA from 1 species
UCGAGAAUAUUCCACAAUGGGCGAAAGCCUGAUGGAGCGACGCCGCGUGCAGGAAUGAAGGCCUUCGGGUUGUAAACUGCGGUAACUAGGGAGGAAUUACGAUGACUGUACCUAGUGGAAAGAGGUGGGUAACUACGUGCCAGCACCAGCGGUAAUACGUAGACCUCAAGCGUUAUCCGGAUUUAUUGGGCGUAAAGCGUGUGUAGGUGGCUUCGUGCGUCUCUGGUUAAAGCCCACUGCCUAACAGUGGAAGUGCCGGGGAUACGACGAAGCUAGAGGAUGUUAGAGGUGCAUGGAACACAUGGUGUAGGGGUGAAAUCCGUUGAUAUCAUGUGGAACACCAAAGGCGAAGGCAGUGCACUGGGACAUUCCUGACACUGAGACACGAAAGCGUGGGGAG